rnacentral:rRNA from 1 species
UACGGAGGAGGCAAGCGUUAUCCGGAAUUAUUGGGCGUAAAGCGUCCGUAGGUGGUUCACCAAGUCUGCUGUCAAAGGGUGGGGCUUAACCUCAUAAAGGCGGUGGAAACUGGUGAGCUAGAGUGCGGUAGGGGUAAGGGGAAUUCCCAGUGUAGCGGUGAAAUGCGUAGAGAUUGGGAAGAACAUCGGUGGCGAAAGUGCCUUACUGGGCCUGCACUGACACUGAGGGACGAAAGCUAGGGGAGCGAAAGGG